CCCUUGGCACCUAGAAGCAGCCAGGAGGGAAGUACUGACCAUUUAAAAGUGGCAGAUCUCCGGGCCCCAUUUCUGCAGCCUUCAUUCUGCAACUCCAGCCACCCACCUGUGCCAACGUCAAGCCAGUUGGGAUUGCCUUGCUCAUGUGCCUCCUCCCAUCUGCUUUUUUCAUGUGUGCUACAGCCUUAGAAAUAAGGACUCUUAGACAGCUGUCUUUAUGUUCCCAAGAAGUAUCUGUCUUUAAGCAAAUCUAGUCUGCAAAUUUUGGAUUUAUUCAAAAGCUUAAAUUAGGGUUUUUUUUAAAAAAACCUUGAAUUUCCCAAUUGAUUUACUGUAGGAUUUUUUGAGAGAACAAAUUCCCCAGAGAUUUAAAACUAGUCAGUUCACAGAAAAUCAGCUUAACUCAACAAAUGCUAAAUUGUGUACUAUGCUCAGAGCACUUUGUAAUGGGAAAUAGAAGAGCAAGACAAGGCCCUUCCCCUCAAGUCGCCUUGUCUGGCUGGGAAGAUGAGACAUGUACAUGUGAAAUAGGAAUGGUUUUAGGGAAGACUGUUGCCGGAUGACAAGGCUGUCACUAUUGUUCUGUACUACCUGACAUUAUGGGACCAGGCCAGCCAGCUUCAACCUGUGUUCAUCUAGCACCUAGGACCCAACUUGAUGGGAGGAGCGACCCCAAAGUACUUCAGACCCAGAACCAGCUGCAGUUUAAUAGGAAUGUUCCUACACAUUCAAGCAACUUGGCGAUCCGAUAUUCUUGCCCACAUGCCAUUAGAAUUGAAAAACUGAAGCACUCAUACAAUGAAUCAUACCAUUGU
rnacentral:lncRNA from 10 species